rnacentral:rRNA from 1 species
UACGUAGGGGGCAAGCGUUGUCCGGAUUCACUGGGCGUAAAGGGUGCGUAGGCGGUUUGACAAGUCUGAUGUGAAAUCCCGCAGCUUAACUGCGGAACUGCAUUGGAAACUGUUUGACUAGAGGAAUGGAGGGGAGACUGGAAUACUUGGUGUAGCAGUGAAAUGCGUAGAUAUCAAGUGGAACACCAGUGGCGAAGGCGAGUCUCUGGACAUUUCCUGACGCUGAGGCACGAAAGCCAGGGGAGCAAACGGG